ACGGGUGAGUAACGCGUGGGCAACCUGCCUUUCACAGCGGGAUAACAGAGGGAAGCUUCUGCUAAUACCGCAUAUACCUUUAUAACGCAUGUUAGGGAGGGGAAAGAAUUAUCGGUGAGAGAUGGGCCCGCGUCCGAUUAGAUAGUUGGUGGGGUAACAGCCUACCAAGUCAACGAUCGGUAGCCGGCUUGAGAGAGUGAACGGCCACAUUGGGACUGAGACACGGCCCAAACUCCUACGGGAGGCAGCAGUGGGGGAUAUUGGACAAUGGGGGCAACCCUGAUCCAGCGACGCCGCGUGAGUGAAGAAGUAUUUCGGUACGUAAAGCUCUAUCAGCAGGGAAGAAAGAAGACGGUACCUGACUAAGAAGCCCCGGCUAACUACGUGCCAGCAGCCGCGGUAAUACGUAGGGGGCAAGCGUUAUCCGGAAUUACUGGGUGUAAAGGGAGCGUAGACGGUUAAACAAGUCUGAAGUGAAAUGCCGGGGCUCAACCCCGGAGCUGCUUUGGGAACUGUAGGACUGGAGUGUCGGAGGGGUAAGCGGAAUUCCCAGUGUAGCGGUGAAAUGCGUAGAUAUUGGGAGGAACACCGGCGGCGAAGGCGGCUUACUGGACGACAACUGACGUUGAGGCUCGAAGGCGUGGGUAGCAAACAGGAUUAGAUACCCUGGUAGUCCA
rnacentral:rRNA from 1 species